CCUACGGGGGGCAGCAGUGAGGAAUAUUGGUCAAUGGACGAGAGUCUGAACCAGCCAAGUAGCGUGAAGGAUGACUGCCCGAUGGGUUGUAAACUUCGUUUAUAUGGGAAUAAAAUGGUCCACGUGUGGGAGUUUGUAUGUACCAUAUGAAUAAGGAUCGGCUAACUCCGUGCCAGCAGCCGCGGUAAUACGGAGGAUCCGAGCGUUAUCCGGAUUUAUUGGGUUUAAAGGGAGCGUAGAUGGGUUGUUAAGUCAGUUGUGAAAGUUUGCGGCUCAACCGUAAAAUUGCCAUUGUUACUGGCAGUCUUGAGUACAGUUGCGGUCGGCGGCCUUCGUGGUGUAGCGG
rnacentral:rRNA from 1 species